rnacentral:rRNA from 1 species
UUGAACGCUGGCGGCAGGCUUAACACAUGCAAGUCGAGCGGGGAAAGGUAGCUUGCUACCUGACCUAGCGGCGGACGGGUGAGUAAUGCUUAGGAAUCUGCCUAUUAGUGGGGGACAACAUCUCGAAAGGGAUGCUAAUACCGCAUACGUCCUACGGGAGAAAGCAGGGGACCUUCGGGCCUUGCGCUAAUAGAUGAGCCUAAGUCGGAUUAGCUAGUUGGUGGGGUAAAGGCCUACCAAGGCGACGAUCUGUAGCGGGUCUGAGAGGAUGAUCCGCCACACUGGGACUGAGACACGGCCCAGACUCCUACGGGAGGCAGCAGUGGGGAAUAUUGGACAAUGGGGGGAACCCUGAUCCGGCCAUGCCGCGUGUGUGAAGAAGGCCUUUUGGUUGUAAAGCACUUUAAGCGAGGAGGAGGCUACCGAGAUUAAUACUCUUGGAUAGUGGACGUUACUCGCAGAAUAAGCACCGGCUAACUCUGUG